UAAGGAUUUAAAUUACGGGCCGCCGAGGACAAGCCUCCAACUGUUUCUCACAGUCGAUUGCCACGGAUAAUUCUCUUCUGCCAUCAAAUUUACAAUAUGUCUAUAUUCAAGGGAACAACUGAAGAACUUGCUGCCUGCCUUGCUGAGGCCACAAUCUGUUCUGGUGCUAACUGCCUUGUGCCAACCAAUAACUUUAAUGCAAAACUGCUGCUAGCGCUGAACAUCACCUUCACCAUCAUGCAGGCUAUUGUCAUGUGUGCCAUGGGCUGCUCUGUGGAUGUCCAAAACCUUUGGGGGCACCUGAAGAGACCUUGGAGCAUAGUUACUGGAUUCCUCUGCCAAUUUGGCAUUAUGCCUUUUACCGCCUUUGCUUUAUCAAUUGCCUUUAAUGUGCUGCCUGUUCAGGCCAUUGCCAUCGUUAUCCUAGGUUGCUGUCCUGGAGGCGUCACUUCCAAUAUUAUCUGCAGCUUUCUCGAUGGAGACAUGGACCUAAGUAUCGCUAUGACAGCCUGUUCCACCACCCUGUCCUUGGGAAUGAUGCCACUAUGUCUGUUCAUAUACACCUCCCUCUGGACUUCUUCAGACACCAUCCAAAUCCCAUAUGACAUAAUUGGUACCACUCUUACGGCCUUCCUUGUCCCAGUCUCUGUCGGAAUAUAUGUUAAACAUAGAUGGCCCCACUUGGCUAAAAAGAUCCUCAAGGUUGGGGCGAUUACAGGCUUUAGUUUCAUGGUCAUCAUUUCUGUGGUUGGGAUAAUUCUUUAUCAGUCUUCCUGGAUCAUUUCCCCCUCCCUUUGGAUAAUCGGGACUAUCUUCCCCUUAAUUGGUUUUGGGAUGGGUUUCCUUUUGGCUCGCUUUGUGGGUCAACCAUGGUACAGGUGCCGAACAAUUGCUUUGGAGACUGGUUUUCAGAACAGCCAAUUGUGUAACACCAUUGUCCAGUUGUCCUUCAACCCAGCUGAACUGGAUGUCAUGUUUGCAAUCCCCAUUAUCUAUACCAUCUUUCAGCUGGUGAUGUCUGUCCUGUUUGUGGGAGUCACACCCUGGUGGUGGUAAGCUACUUGUGUAGCCACAGCUGCCCUGCGACAAUCUGGCGGAAGUGUGGCUGCCAUUCUGCCCCUACGGCUCUUCCGACUGUGAGGCUGACACUCUAACCAGUCGUCCGCCGUGCCGCCCCCAUGCCCCAUGAUACCAAGUGUAUAAAAAGUCACAUGGUCUGGGAUCAGCUGAAACAGACAUGGAAUUGCCAACAUUUGAAGAUGGCUAUUUAGAACAAGCAAAAUAGACACCCUAUCGUGUGGAAAUAGUGCCUUUGAAUUGAAUUAUGACUGAUUAUUAAAAGCAAAGAUGAGCACUUUGACAAGAACAACACCCCGUUCUGAGAUUAUGGCUCUGAUGACUUUGUAUUUACCAAAAUGACCUCCACAAACAGGGCAACGUACAACUCCAAAUUGUGAACACAUAUAACACUGCAUGCUGUGCAACGAUUUUACUCUGUUUGGAAUUUUUGAGAGCUAUACCCACAAAUAGGUGUUCAACGAAUGAUGAAUAACGUUUUUGUUUUUAUAGAGGGACAAACUCAGAAAGUGUGGUAAGUGGUAUGGUCAUUGUGUUGUUGUUAUGAAGACCUAUCUGUCAAAAAUGGGGUAAAAAAAAUAAAUAAAAAAUACAUCGUAGAGUAAGAGCUCUUGUCCAUAUUGUGAUGAAUGCCCAAUUAAAAAAAAAAUCCAAAACUA